GAAAUUUGCAACCGAAGAGAGAAACAAUCUGAUUUCAGUCAUAAAAGACUUAUUCCUGAUGCUGUGUAGAGAACAGACUCAGAGUGAGCAGGGGCCUCUGGAGGCUACUGAAAUGAUCCAGGCAAGAGUUUUUGGCUGGGGCCAGGUUUGAACGCACCACCUCCAGUAUAUGGGGCUGGUGCCCUACUCCUUUGAGCCACAGGCACCGCCCCAGGUAUUCUCUCUUUACCAACUGGCCAAGGCAACAAAUAAACCAGGAAGGAACAGCAGCUCCAAGACACACCUUGUUCCAGAGGACCUGGAUGUAAUUCCAGGCAUGUCCAUCUAACCUUUACAGUAAGAAACAACACCCCCCAGGGACCACCUACCUGAUGGAUCACCGCACAUGAGUAGAUACAUUGUAGGCACCACCCACUACCACUGAAGCUGCAGAAACAAACCCAGCCCUGUAGUAAGAAUUCUUUUGCUGUUCCUUUUGCUGUACACAAGAAGCUCUGUCAAUACAACUGAAGAACGCUGGCUGGGGGUUGGACACCAAGCUUUUAGUCCUGACUUCACAAUCACUCAAGGACAUUAAAAACCAGUCUCCUCUCCUUGCUGGCUACCAGUUCCCCAAAUUGAAUGGACAGUAAAAGGCUUGUGCCCUUGCUGGUGGCUUCUCAUGUGCCCAUCAUAGCAAAACUCACUUCCCCAACCAUGACCUUGGCAGAGGGUACCAGGUGAGGACACCAGGACUUCCCAGUAAACCCAAGGAAAUGCCACAAGAAAGAGUUCUCCCAUUUUUCAAAGAUUCGCUUGUGUUUACAGAACAUCCUUCUGAAAUCAACAUUGGGAGAUAUCCCCCAAGAGGCAGCUCCACCCUGGCUGGACUCUCCCUGCCUCUCAGCUUCCAACUAUCCCACCAGCUGGAGUGUACGAUGACUUUAUCACCUAAAGGAGCACAUUUUCUCCUGGGAAAUUUUUUUGUUUAAAGAUAUUAUUGUUGUUAAGAAUAAUUAAGUAUCUUUCAAAAGGCAAAUAUAUAUAUAAAACUUUAGAUGGUCUACAAUUCACUUCUUCUAUUAGUACAGGUCACAGAAGGCUGACUGAUUUCUCCCAUG